UGGAGACAUUAUCCGACUCAGAUUGUAUACUUUACGGGCUGCUCAACAAUGACAGCCGUAGAGCCCCCAAAUCUGUCUAAGAAUCAGUUUCAGAAUCGGGUUCCGCCACUUACGUACAAUAUACCACGUUCUGCUAAUGGGGGUCUAAUCUAGUGACGACAGCUCCAACAUGCAGUCCAGUUCCACUCUCCCUUAUUGGAUCACCAAUGCGUUUGAGAAGUACUCGUAUGAAACAGUUGAAUUCAAUGAUGGUGCAGCAGACAAUACGAGUAUUUCAAAAAACAAUCAGAUGAAGACAACAAAUAGGUUUAAUUCCCAAUUUCGAUCCGAUGCCAGAACUUUUCUUAGCUUUCUUAACUUUGAGCCAAACUCAAUGUCGCUUUUGCCACUAGUUCCAUUGUGGCCCCAUUGUGUCCACCCAAAAUGCUGAAAAUGCUCCAGUGGCUACAUGGACACAUCCUGCCACGUCCUCUCGUAUGCAUGAUACUGUUGUUCGGGUGUUGCUGUCAAUGUCCGCAUCCGUAUACGUAUCCGCUGGCAUAUUUCACAACUUUGCCCAAAUUCGUCUGCUUGGCAGUCUGUUUCCCAGACACUUUGCACGUUCAGCCGAACUGACCUCUGAUUCCCGUGUGGCACAUCGGGCGCCCAGAUGUUGUUGCCACUGUGUCUGCGUUGCAUGAUCCGAGCCUUAAGGAAAUGUGUGGCCAUAAACAACAGUAUAUGGAAUGACUGCGUUCGUGAGGCCCAAGGGAUCAGCGGAGCCGUGCCCAUGCCCCUUUCCUCUUAUUUGGCCCUUAUUCAAAUGUGACCCCACAACCCGUGACCCGUCGCUGAUGACGGUGUUGCUGGUGCUGGUGCUGGUGCUGUCGCUAUCGCCUUCCUUGGCUGCCCUUGGCUACGCACGAUUUAAAUUAAAUUGCACUUGACGCAUUUGCCUGCAGAGCUCUGUGUUUGAGCCAUGACACGGCUGGCUGGGGACAGGACAUCAGCAUCCCACCCGGGACGACAUGGAAGCAAGCAAGUGAGCGAGUCCGAGCAGAAGCAGGAAGCAGGAGCAGGAAGCAGGAGCUCCCUUCCUACUAUUAUUCAAUUAGUUGGCCAUCUGCUGCUCCUGUUGGAGGGGACUCUGGACCCUCUGCACGUCAAGUGCCCGUAAAUAAGUAAUAAAUGUAAUCCAAUGCCUCUACUCUGGCUACAGGUAGGAGCUGGAGCUGCCGUCCCAGUGGCACGGCAUGGCAUGUAUAAAUGAAUAGAUGGAUGGAGGCUGCAUACAGGAAAGGAUUAGUAGGGGUUCGAGUUUCCCCUGCUUUGGGGCAGAGGCUUGAAGCUAACCGAAAAAAGAUAAUCCUGUGAUGGUUGGGUAUUCGAUUACUGAAUCGGAACCAGAUGGAGUCAUAGACCCAGAGCAUUGGCGAAGCAGGUGGAGCAUGUAAGAGUGGAGGGCGCUGAAAGGAACAAUGGUGGAAAUGGGGGAGGACCUACGACCGAAGGAAGCUGCCAGUGCACACAGAAAUCUAAUUUAAAAUGUGCACACACAUAGAGAGGGAGGAAAUCAGCGACAGACAACAGACAACAGAUGGUAGCCGAGCUGCCGAGCAGCAAGAACCAAGAAGAAGAGGGAACGUGGAACGUGAGCACCUGGACCUGGACUCCAGCUGAUGCUGCUCCAAGGAAAGUGAACUCGGGAAAAGGAAGCCAAAGGUAACCGACGCAGCCGAGCGAAUGGCAAACAAGCGACAAAACAAAAUCAAACCUUGCCCCAGGACCCGCCCCAACCACGAGGGCCAUAUGCUGGAAGAGGAUGUGUAGAUGUUUAGAGAGAAUCCUUGCACCCAAGCACUGCGAUUUAAUCUUAUAAUGAUGCUGGUCUCCAUCUCCGUUCGAGUUCCAGUUCCUGUCUGUGAACGUGAACCAGCCCCUUUAACCCGGAACGUGAACAAGACAAUAUUUACACGUUUUCGCAGUUCAUCGUUUGAUAGCUACCAGACCAUACUCGUAGCAGAUCCAAGCAGACCCCACAUCGGUCGGACCUCGAUUACAUAGGAGCAUGAGAGCAUGAGCACGGAUUGAACAACCUGCCAGGGCGCUGCCAGGGCGCUGCCACUGCCACUGGCUGAGACUGGAAUGAGUAGAAUGACAACUGGCUAAAUCCUCUGCCAGCAUUCGUCGCCAAUCAGUGGUGGAGAACUUCUAGAUAUUCGCUUUCAAAUGCAUGGGAGAGAGCCUCCUUCGUCUCCUCCUCCUUGACGGCCUCCAACAACAUGUGGGAAUCGCAAAAUAUUCCAACUAUUUUUGAGCAGUAGUUUUUGAGCAGCAGUCCCAGGAAAAGGCACAGGCACAGGAGCUGAGCGACACACAAUGAGAGUGUCUAAGUACCGCCUUACCAGUACCAGCUCCACUGGUAAGAUUAAAUCUUACACUGUGGGUAAAACUGGAUGCAUGUUCAAUUAAUUUGCAUUUGUGAAGAAUUCAAACUUGAGCGAGGUGGGACAUGACAGUCUUAUUUUGACAGGGAAAUACUAUACAUACCUAUUAAUAAUAUAAACCUU